GAUGAACGCUGGCGGCGUGCUUAACACAUGCAAGUCAAGGGGAAAGUUUUCUUCGGAGAGCGAGUAUUCUGGCGAACGGGUGAGGAAUAUAUAAGUAAUCUACCCAUGGGACUGGAAUAACGUCGAGAAAUCGGCGCUAAUACCGGAUAAUGCAGCGGCAUCGCAUGAUGAUGUUGUUAAAGUCAUUUAUGGCACCUAUGGAUGAGCUUGUACGUGAUUAGCUUGUUGGUGAGGUAAUGGCUCACCAAGGCUACGAUCAUUAGCUGGUCUGAGAGGAUGAUCAGCCACACUGGAACUGAGACACGGUCCAGACUCCUACGGGAGGCAGCAGUGAGGAAUAUUGGGCAAUGGGCGAAAGCCUGACCCAGCAACGCCGCGUGGAGGAUGAAUGCCGUAAGGUUGUAAACUCCUUUUUUUAGAGACGAAAAAAUAGGUUGAUAGCCUAUAUUGACUGACUGUAUCUAUGGAAUAAGCCCCGGCUAACUACGUGCCAGCAGCCGCGGUAAUAC
rnacentral:rRNA from 1 species